CCCUUAGAUGUCCGGGGCCGCACGCGCGCUACAAUGGAUGAAUCAACGCGUCAUCCUGGCCCGAAAGGGUUGGGGAACCGCUGAACCUCAUCCGUGGUUGGGAUUGGGGUUUGUAAUUAUUCCCCAUGAACUAGGAAUUUCCAGUAAGCGCGAGUCAUAAGCUCGCGUUGAUUACGUCCCUGCCCUUUGUACACACCGCCCGUCGCUACUACCGAUUGGAUGGUUUAGUGAGAUCCUCGGAUUGGUCACGGCACGGUGGCAACACUGCGUCGGUGUGCCGAGAAGACGAUCAAACUUGAUCAUCUAGAGGAAGUAAAAGUCGUAACA
rnacentral:rRNA from 1 species